rnacentral:rRNA from 1 species
CCUACGGGAGGCAGCAGUGAGGAAUAUUGGUCAAUGGACGCAAGUCUGAACCAGCCAUGCCGCGUGCAGGAUGACGGCUCUAUGAGUUGUAAACUGCUUUUGUCCGAGGGAAAACCCGGUACGUGUACGGGGGUGAAAGUAUCCUAAGAAUAAGGAUCGGCUAACUCCGUGCCAGCAGCCGCGGUAAUACGGAGGAUCCGAGCGUUAUCCGGAUUUAUUGGGUUUAAAGGGUGCGUAGGCGGUUUUAUAAGUUAGGGGUGAAAUGUCGGGGCUCAACCCCGAAACUGCCUCUAAUACUGUUGGACUAGAGAAUAGUUGCGGUAGGCGGAAUGUAUGGUGUAGCGGUGAAAUGCUUAGAGAUCAUACAGAACACCGAUUGCGAAGGCAGCUUACCAAACUAUAUCUGACGUUGAGGCACGAAAGCGUGGGUAGCAAACAGGAUUAGAUACCCGAGUAGUC